GUGUUUGCUUCGGCAACACAUACACUAAAAUUGGAACGCUACAGAGAAGGUUAGCAUGGCCCCUGGGCAAGGAUGACAUGCAAAUUUGUUAAGCAUUCCAUGUUUUA
ensembl:snRNA U6 U6 spliceosomal RNA